UAUUGUUGCUUCAUGAGGAAGAAACUGUGCAGCAUCGUAUCAUCCGCAGACGUGUGCGAGAUGCAUCUAACCUCUUGGAUUUAUCCCAUACAUUAUUCAUCCAGCACUAUAGAUUAAGUGAAGAUGCUUUUAAGUAUAUUCUGGAGGAACUCGAGGAAAAUCUGCCGCCAUCAAAAACAUCAUCCGGAAUUCCAACAAUUUUAAAAUUAUGUGCCUGUCUGCGAUACUUUGCAGAGGGUGGGUACCAGAAAGGAGUAGGCAGAGAUUACGAAGUUGGAAUGGCGCAGUCAACGUUCAGCGAAGUGCUCACACAUAUUUUAAAUGUAAUGGAGCGAACUUUAUGCUGUAAGUGGAUCACCUUUUCGACCGAGGAAGAGAGUCGAGUGACAGCGCAAGAUUAAUAUCGUAAAUUUGGAAUACCAGGCGUUGUGGAAUCUAUUGAUGGCACUCACAUCAAUAUAUAGGUCCAAUGGAACACUUAUACUUCAAUCGGAAAGGACACUAUAGCCUAAAUACAACACUUGUAAGUUUCCUAUCUGACACGUUUUUAACAGUAGGGCCGUUACUAUUCAAUUCCUCUGUAAGACUAUUCCAAAAUUCUGUCAUUACGUCCUUUGAAAUUUUGACAAAUCCACAUGCAAUUGUCCUGCUAUUUUGCAUUUUGUUGAGCAAAAUCGCGUGUUGAUUUUUGUUCACACUUCGGCUCCAAAAAAUUUUAAAUAAGGCAUUAUUGUUCUAAUAAAACCACACAAAAACUUUCAUGGUUAAAGCAACUCUUCAGCAAAAA
rnacentral:sRNA from 1 species